GGGGAUGUAGCUCAGUGAGGAGAGUGCGUGUCUAGGUCACAUGAAGCCCUGGGUUCGAUCCCCAGCAUGCCAU
rnacentral:tRNA from 1 species